rnacentral:rRNA from 1 species
UACGGAGGGGUUAGCGUUGUUCGGAAUUACUGGGCGUAAAGCGUGCGCAGGCGGUUUGUUAAGCGAGAUGUGAAAGCCCCUGGGCUCAACCUAGGAAUAGCAUUUCGAACUGGCGAACUAGAGUCUUGUAGAGGGGGGUAGGAAUUCCAGGUGUAGCGGUGAAAUGCGUAGAGAUCUGGAGGAAUACCCGGUGGCGAAGGCGGCCCCCCUGGACAAAGACUGACGCUCAUGCACGAAAGCGUGGGGAGCAAACAGGAUUAGAUACCCCCGGUAGU